rnacentral:rRNA from 1 species
UACGUAGGGUGCGAGCGUUAAUCGGAAUUACUGGGCGUAAAGCGUGCGUAGGCGGUUCUCCAAGUCCGUUGUGAAAGCCCCGGGCUCAACCUGGGAAUGGCAGUGGAAACUAGGGGACUGGAAUCUGGCAGAGGGGGGUGGAAUGCCGCGUGUAGCAGUGAAAUGCGUAGAGAUGUGGAGGAACACCGAUGGCGAAGGCAGCCCCCUGGGCUGAGAUUGACGCUCAGGCACGAAAGCGUGGGGAGCAAACAGG